CUACGGGCGCACCAGUGAGGAAUAUUGCACAAUGGGGGGAACCCUGAUGCAGCAACGCCGCGUGGAGGAUGACGCAUUUCGGUGUGUAAACUCCUUUUAUAUGUCAAGAAAAUGACGGUAGCAUAUGAAUAAGCACCGGCUAACUCCGUGCCAGCAGCCGCGGUAAUACGGAGGGUGCAAGCGUUACUCGGAAUCACUGGGCGUAAAGGACGCGUAGGCGGGUUGGAAAGUCAGGUGUGAAAUCCUACAGCUUAACUGUAGAACUGCACUUGAAACUUCUAAUCUAGAGUAUGGGAGGGGGAGAUGGAAUUAGUGGUGUAGGGGUAACAUCCGUAGAUAUCACUAGGAAUACCUAAAGCGGAGGCGAUCUCCUGGAACAUUACUGACGCUAAGGCGUGAAAGCGUGGGGAGCAAACAGGAUUAGAUACCCCAGUAGUC
rnacentral:rRNA from 1 species